CUACGGGCCGCACCAGUGGGGAAUAUUGGACAAUGGGGGCAACCCUGAUCCAGCCAUGCCGCGUGUGUGAAGAAGGCCUUUUGGUUGUAAAGCACUUUAAGCGAGGAGGAGGCUACUGGUACUAAUAUUACCAGCUAGUGGACGUUACUCGCAGAAUAAGCACCGGCUAACUCUGUGCCAGCAGCCGCGGUAAUACAGAGGGUGCGAGCGUUAAUCGGAAUUACUGGGCGUAAAGCGCGCGUAGGCGGUUUGUUAAGUCGGAUGUGAAAUCCCCGGGCUCAGCCUGGGAAUUGCAUUCGAUACUGGCAAGCUAGAGUAUGGGAGAGGAAGGUAGAAUUCCAGGUGUAGCGGUGAUAUGCGUAGAGAUCUGGAGGAAUACCGAUGGCGAAGGCAGCCUUCUGGCCUAAUACUGACGCUGAGGUGCGAAAGCAUGGGGAGCAAACAGGAUUAGAUACCCCAGUAGUC
rnacentral:rRNA from 1 species